CACGUUGAAACACUGGUUCCCGUACAAUCACCGAAUUUAAGCAACAUCGAGCCUUAUCAGUACCUGGAUAGGUGACCGUUUGAAAAUACCAGGUGCUGUAAG